CGGCACGGGUGAGUAACACGUAUCCAACCUGCCGUCUACUCUUGGACAGCCUUCCGAAAGGAAGAUUAAUACAAGAUGGCAUCAUGAGUCCACAUGUUCACAUGAUUAAAGGUAUUCCGGUAGACGAUGGGGAUGCGUUCCAUUAGAUAGUAGGCGGGGUAACGGCCCACCUAGUCUUCGAUGGAUAGGGGUUCUGAGAGGAAGGUCCCCCACAUUGGAACUGAGACACGGUCCAA
rnacentral:rRNA from 1 species